rnacentral:rRNA from 1 species
UACGGGGGGGGGCAAGCGUUGUUCGGAAUUACUGGGCGUAAAGGGCUCGUAGGUGGCCAACUAAGUCAGACGUGAAAUCCCUCGGCUUAACCGGGGAACUGCGUCUGAUACUGGAUGGCUUGAGUUCGGGAGAGGGAUGCGGAAUUCCCGGUGUAGCGGUGAAAUGCGCAGAUAUCGGGAGGAACACCGGUGGCGAAGGCGGUUCUCUGGGCCUGUACUGACGCUGAGGAGCGAAAGCGUGGGGAGCGAACAGG